GGUAGAUACCAUUUCUCUAUGCUCUAUAAUCAUAGCCUAUUCUGUGAUUCUACGCGAGCACGUGCUAAGUUGUUCUUGUUCAGUUGCACUUUGUAGUUUUUGGAUUCUUGGUUUCCUAAAUCCUGCCAAUUUAUUCUUAUUAUUUGCGAUUCAAGAGGUGGACACUUCCCUAUGUCUUCUAAAAUAUGUAUUGGAAAUAUCCCCUGGAAGCUUAUACCAUGUUCUGGGUGUGGUAUUACCAUUAUUCAACGGCUACAGUUUCAAACAAUUUAAAUAAGUCUGGGUCAAAAUCUCCUGUUAAUAGCUUCUCCAGAACCAUAUUUAAUUCAAGCAGAAUUUCGAACAAGAAUAGGUAAGGACUGACAUGAAGUCGGAAGCGUAUGAGCGCUCGACAUUCAUUCGCAAUAUACCUAUAUAAAUUCUGUGGACUCUUGGGAGGGCAAUUGGUGCAUGAAUGAAGAGCACCCAAAAGCUUCUGGUUCACGCUAGUGCUUUCUUCUCUUAUAAUGGUGAAUUUUUAGUUCCAUGAAUUAGAAGUAUGAUCAUAUGCCAUGAUUAGCAUUGAUAUAUUAUAUUGUCUUUCGUUAUUGUAAAUUUUUUCAAUUUAAUGAUUUCUUAUUUGAAAGGUGGUUAAUAUCGAGAAAGGAGUCAUGUUGAGUUGGAGUAUUCUAGAUGAGUAAAUAAUUGAUCCUUAUUGAAUAUUUGAUGAAUAUCAAUUAUCAGACUUUCGCUAUAGUGUUAUAUAAAAUAUACUUAUGAUGAUUUAGUCGAACGGGCGGAAUGAUAAAUCCAGUGAUUAGUGUUCGUUGCUGAUAGUGGCUGCUAUUUGUUUUUGUUUUAAUACUGAGAUGAUUCUAAAAUAGGAGGAUUGUUGAGCUAAGGGUUCUGAAUGAUCCUAGUUGAAUUAAUAUCUCCAUUGGGAGAAUUGGCAGACUCUUUGACAAAAGGUGACUGCUAUUUUUCUUAGUUCAAUACAACGAUGAUUUUUAAACAGGAGAUUGUUGAGCUAAGGGUUCUGAAUUAUCCUACUUGAAUUAAUAUCUCCAUUGGAAGAUGGCAGACUCUUUGAAAAAAGGUGACUGCUAUUUUUCUUAGUUCAAUACAACAAUGAUUUUUAAACAGGAGAUUGUUGAGCUAAGGGUUCUGAAUUAUCCUACUUGAAUUAAUAUCUCCAUUGGAAGAUGGCAGACUCUUUGACAAAAGGUGACAGCUAUUUUUCUUCGUUUAAUAUUGAGAUUAUCCUAAAACAGGGGAAUUGUUGAGCUUAACGGUUCUGAAUUGUCCUACUUGAAUUAAUAUCUCCAUUGGAAGAUGGCAGACUCUUUGACAAAAGGUGACUGCUAUUUUUCUUAGUUCAAUACAACGAUGAUUUUUAAACAGGAGAUUGUUGAGCUAAGGGUUCUGAAUUAUCCUACUUGAAUUAAUAUCUCCAUUGGAAGAUGGCAGACUCUUUGACAAAAGGUGACAGCUAUUUUUCUUGGUUUAAUAUUGAGAUGAUCCUACAACAGGGGAAUUGUUGAGCUUAAGGGUUCUGAAUUGUCCUACUUGAAUUAAUAUCUCCAUUGGAAGAAUUGGCAUACUCUUCGACAAAAGGUGACAGCUAUUUUUCUUGGUUUAAUAUUGAGAUGAUCCUACAACAGGGGAAUUGUUGAGCUUAAGGGUUCUGAAUUGUCCUAGUUGAAUUAAUAUCACCUUUGGAAGAAUUGGCAUACUCUUCGACAAAAGGUGACUGCUAUUUUUCUUAGUUCAAUACAACGAUGAUUUUUAAACAGGAGAUUGUUGAGCUAAGGGUUCUGAAUUAUCCUACUUGAAUUAAUAUCUCCAUUGGAAGAUGGCAGACUCUUUGACAAAAGGUAACUGCUAUUUUUUGGUUUAAUACCAAAGAUGAUUAAAAAACAGAAGGAUUGUUGGGGGAAGGGUUCUCUUAGUUGAAUUAAUAUCACCAUUGGAAGAAUUGGCAGACUCUUCGACAAAAGAUUUAUGCUGUUCUGGAAGAUGGCAUCCUUUUAUUUUUAUUAUUUGAAAUUGUAUUCUGAAGAUUAUUCUUAUUCUGCUGAUCUUGAAAUAUGUUGAAUAUUGUGUGAAUUAAAAUAAAGAAUUUAUUUGGA